rnacentral:rRNA from 1 species
UCGAGGAUCUUUAGCAAUGCCCGAAAGGGUGACUAUGCGACGCCGCGUGCAGGAUGAAGGCCUUCGGGUUGUAAACUGCUGUCAGUGGGGAAGAAACCACGCUAUUUAAAAGAUGGCGUGCUGACAUCACCCACAAAGGAAGCCACGGCUAACUCUGUGCCAGCAGCCGCGGUAAGACAGAGGUGGCAAGCGUUGUUCGGAUUCAUUGGGUGUAAAGGGUUCGUAGGUGGCCCGGCAAGUCUGACGUGAAAUCCCAGAGCUCAACUCUGGAACUGCGUUGGAAACUACCGGGCUUGAGUGCCGGAGAGGUAAGGGGAAUUCCAGGUGUAAGGGUGAAAUCUGUAGAUAUCUGGAGGAACACCAGUGGCGAAGGCGCCUUACUGGCCGGUACCUGACGCUG